GCCUCGAUAGCGCAAUAGGCAGCGCGCGAGUCUCAUAAUCUCGACGUCGUGAGUUCGAACCUCACCCGGGGCA
rnacentral:tRNA from 1 species